GCUGAUCAGCUACUUCCAGCAUCAAGGAUUUUUUACACACAGAGGGUGUCUCCGCUCGGGACAGGGCUAGACUGUAUUUCUGGAUGCUGAACAGAAAUGGUCUCCUUCAGCACACUGUACAGCUUUCAAGAAGCUCCCCAAAGAAUUGAAGCAGGCAUGGGAGGAAACUUCAGUGCAGAACAGUGUGUGAUUGGCCAGUCUCCCCAGGGAUCUGGAGAUCGCUGUCUGCAAUAUCCUUCGGCUCUACUGCUUCCAUGCUUUUUUCAUUUACUUCCUUUCUUUUUAGCUGAACAGAUAGGGAAUACUUAUCAAAAAGAGUAAAGACAUCCAAGUGUGGGUGUUUUAAAAGAUGCUUCUUGGUUAUCAUAUUUAAUCAUGCUAAUUCAGUAAUUUUCACCUUUGAGAAGUACUGUAUGGAAACCCACUGCAGGUUGAACUGUCCAUGCACGGCUUUCUUGUCUCUGUCCGAUAUAAUGUAACAACAACGUUUUCAAUCCUUUUUAAUGAAGUUUAGGAUUAGGUAGUUUACCAAAGUUACUUCACCUCCAUGCAGCUAUAAAAGGUUUUUGUGUAAAUGUAUGAUAAAAAGAGUUUCACCGGAGGGUUCUAACUCUGCGCUCUGAAUGUUUCAAAUGACCUUCCUCUGUUCUAAGUCCAUAAUGAAAAAUGCUUUGCUUAUUCAUGUAAUAACUGCCCUGGUCCCUGGAGAAGGAAAGGGACCUUGAAGGACCAUCAUAGGACAGUGGAAUGCCAAAGAUACAAAGGAAGCCUAAAAUGGCUGUGACUCUAAAACUUUUCAAAGCGGUUACUCCAGUCUUGAAUUCCUUUUUUUAAAGAAUUCCUUUUUUAAAGGUUUAGAGUUACGGUUAGAUUUUAGGGUUAGGGUUAUAUCUUGUGGUUAGGGCAAGAGGACUUUGCUACCCUUCCUCUGACAUGUUUAUGUUUGGUUUCAUUUUCAUGCUCCACAAAUCUCAUACAGCGUCUACUGCUCUCUGUACUCCUCACUUCUGAGCUGUAAGUGCGGCCGCUAAAUAGCCCGAUGUACGUUAUCAUGAUUGCAGCUCAUUAUUUGUGCAUGUUGAGUAAUUUGCGUUGCUCAUAAACUUGCAUAGGCCGCAGUGCAAAAUAACUGCCUGUCCGCUUGGCAAUUUGGAUUUUGCAGCCGCGAUUGUUUGCCCUGCACCUAUCCCUACAUCAGCCCCUGUCCUCUGCUUUCUGUGCUUUCGUAACCACAGGAAUUUGGCUGGCAUUUAAAGAUGGUUGAAAAGAUAUAUCUACUUGCAAAUAAUGUUAUCUCUAGACCGCCAAGAGAACAUUUGUGUAGGGUAUGUCACAUGGUGUGCAUCCCUGCAGGCUUUCAUCUCAGAUUCAGAUCAGCAGAUCGAGAGGUACUGCCGUAACCAAGGUGAAACUAUUACCAAAGCCAGGAAGAUUUGCAUUUCACUUUGAAUAAUAGAGUGCUAGGGUUAAGUUAAACUUUUAGUUUGUCCCCUUACAUUUUCAUGUUUGAAAAUUCUGUGUAGUUCUUAUCGCAAUGGCAAAAAUAUAUGUGUGUGUGUAUAUAUAUGUUUAUGUUGUUCAGGAGCUGCUCUUCACACUUCACACAGGCUAGAUCAGCUGAAAUGUCUUUGUCUAAGGAAGAGCCAGUGCCAUCUAGUGAUCUGCCAUUCUGAAAAGUUUUCUUUUUGUUUUUCUGGCAAAUAAUUUCUGCGCACUAGAGUUACUCGCUGAUCAAGCCGAACUACAGCAGAUAAAAACAACUCCUGAACUCACAGUAUUAGAACGUUUACACAAAUUUAAAAUCCCCAGGUCUAAAACACAUCAUACUUGAGUAGUUGAAAUUCUAUAGUACAUAGCAAACAGCACAGAAAGGUAGUGGAGCUGAGUAACUAUCUGUCUCCCAGUCACGCAGUAUGCAUGUAGUUCUAUAUUCUUCAGAAAGGAACAGAAGAGUUGAAGAUUAGUUUCUUGCUGGCCUGACGAUAUAUUUUUUCAGAAAAAAGGGGGUACAUUUCAAAGUCAGUUUUAGGUUUUCAAAGCCAGGCCUUAAAUAGAGCUAAGAUAAAUGUAUAGAUAGUGUGAUGGUCCAAACCCAGCUAUGUUAAUUAAAUUGUAUUCAUUUUAAUACUGUGAUUAUCAAGAAAAAAUAUAUGUUUAAAUAGCUUGUGAGGUUCAUAGCAGCCAGGCGUUGUUUCCUUUCAUGUACACUGUACUUUUUUGCAAUAAAACAAAUGAAUGCACCAUCAACAAAAUGUCCCAGAUUGGAAAAGCAAAUGAUACAUUACUUUUGUUUCUCUAAACAUUCAGUGGAACUAUUGUCUUUCCAAAACUAGUUCUUCCGGAUAGACAGUGCGUUAAGUGAUGGAAUACAGUCUUCUUAACCUUCAGUCAACAAUAGGAACUUUCUA